UACGGAGGGGGCUAGCGUUGUUCGGAAUUACUGGGCGUAAAGCGCACGUAGGCGGAUAUUUAAGUCAGGGGUGAAAUCCCGGGGCUCAACCCCGGAACUGCCUUUGAUACUGGGUAUCUGGAGGUCGAGAGAGGCGAGUGGAAUUCCCAGUGUAGCGGUGAAAUGCGUAGAUAUUGGGAGGAACAUCAGUAGCGAAGGCGGCUUUCUGGGUCACACCUGACGCUGAGGUACGAAAGCGUGGGGAGCAAACGGG
rnacentral:rRNA from 1 species